GACGAACGCUGGCGGCGUGCUUAACACAUGCAAGUCGAACGGAAAGGCCCUGCUUGCAGGGUGCUCGAGUGGCGAACGGGUGAGUAACACGUGGGUGAUCUGCCCCUUACUUUGGGAUAAGCCUGGGAAACUGGGUCUAAUACUGGAUAGGACCAUGCUGUAGGUGGUGUGGUGGAAAGAUUAGUUUCGGUAAGGGAUGAGCUCGCGGCCUAUCAGCUUGUUGGUGGGGUAAUGGCCUACCAAGGCGUCGACGGGUAGCCGGCCUGAGAGGGUGGACGGCCACAUUGGGACUGAGAUACGGCCCAGACUCCUACGGGAGGCAGCAGUGGGGAAUAUUGCACAAUGGGCGCAAGCCUGAUGCAGCGACGCCGCGUGGGGGAUGAAGGCCUUCGGGUUGUAAACUCCUUUCGGCCAUGACGAAGCCCUUGUGGUGACGGUAGUGGUAGAAGAAGCACCGGCUAACUACGUG
rnacentral:rRNA from 1 species